rnacentral:rRNA from 1 species
AACGAACGCUGGCGGCAGGCCUAACACAUGCAAGUCGAGCGGUCCCUUUGGGGGCAGCGGCGGACGGGUGAGUAACGCGUGGGAACCUGGCCUUGGGUGCGGGAUAACGUCGGGAAACUGGCGCUAAUACCGCAUAAUGUCUACUGACCAAAGAUUUAUCGCCCAAGGAUGGGCCCGCGUUGGAUUAGCUAGUUGGUGGGGUAAAGGCCUACCAAGGCGACGAUCCGUAACUGGUCUGAGAGGAUGAUCAGUCACACUGGAACUGAGACACGGUCCAGACUCCUACGGGAGGCAGCAGUGGGGAAUAUUGGACAAUGGGCGAAAGCCUGAUCCAGCCAUGCCGCGUGCGUGAAGAAGGUCUUCGGAUUGUAAAGCACUUUAAGUUGGGAGGAAGGCGAGUAAGUUAAUACCUUGCUGUCUUGACGUUACCAACAGAAUAAGCACCGGCUAACUUUAUGCCAGCCGCCGCCGUAAC